rnacentral:rRNA from 1 species
UACAGAGGGUGCGAGCGUUAAUCGGAAUUACUGGGCGUAAAGCGUGCGUAGACGGUUAUUUAAGUCGGAUGUGAAAGCCCCGGGCUCAACCUGGGAAUUGCAUUCGAGACUGAAUAGCUAGGGUACGGUAGAGGGAAGUGGAAUUUCCGGUGUAGCGGUGAAGUGCGUAGAUAUCGGAAGGAACAUCAGUGGCGAAAGCGACUUCCUGGACCAGUACCGACGUUCAGGCACGAAAGCGUGGGGAGCAAACAGG